GCGCCGGGUAGUCGCGUGUUGUGCCUUCGCUGCGUAAACAAACCUAUUGGCUCGCUGCCGUGCCAGCUGGGGCUAUGAAUAAGGACUCAGCUGACAAGAGACCAAGUUCUAGUGCAAACAGCGCGCAACAAAAAUCCCAAUGGGAAUUGCAGUGGUCUUUGUGCAUACUGGAAAACGUGCUGCAUGUUGGAUAUGUCGGCAUUCUGUUAUGCCAAAAAAAUAUAACGUUCAGCGACACUGCAAUUCAAAACUUGUGACGUGUAUAAUAGUGUUCAUGGAGACGAGCGUCUGCAAUUGAUUGCAAAGUUAAAAGAAUCCUUCAGCAAUGAGAAAUUAUAACGACAAGAAAUUAUAUACCUGGGCACGAAUACAUAACAUGCAACCUGGACCUGUCGCUAAAUAUAACUAAGGUGGCAGGCACUGCAGAUGCCGGACUGCGUCAUGUUACCAGACUGCUGCGUUCCAAGACUGGUGUUGAUAGAAGUGGAGUAGAAACCACCAUGGACAAAGAGGACAUCAGAGUCUCUUGAAGCAGCAAGGAUCACAAGACAGUGUCGAGAGUCUCCAGCGACUGCAGAAUGCGCUCAUCUCGUGAGCACCAUUCCACCAGUUCAUCGAUAGUCACCACACCAUCCUUGUUGGUAUCAAUUUGCUGCAAUCAAAAAAAUGUAAAAGUUUUAUGGAACAUCAGGUAAAGUGAAAAUUAUGCUGGGAACAUUACAGGUUCAUUCACUGGUCAUACAUGUGUACUAGUGAUGAAACAGUAUAAAAAAAAUUUACUGUGCAAAAUGAGUGAGGCAGACUUUUGUAAGAUAUAUGUGUGUCUGUUCCACCACACCUAUGCAGAUGGUGGUGAUGGUGAUGCUGUUGCUGGUCUUGAGGUGAAUGGUAUGUUUAAAUGUAUGAUAGCCAACUAUAUAGUGCCAAUAAAAAUGUUAUGGAGCUCGGCUGAAUAAAAAUGAUAAACAUGAAGAAUUUCUCAUAUAAGUAAAAUAGGACAUUUCUUGAAACCCCCCCCCCCCCCCCCCCAAGCAGUAAAUUUUUUUUACUAAGAGUAAAACAUGUAGUGAAAAAGGGAGAAACUGGAGAGACUUUGGUUUAAAAUCAUAUGGCAAAAGCGAUCUGUCUGGUGGAAUGCUGGACUAAAAUCCAAUACUCCAGUCUCUCUGCAAUUUGCUAAAACCUCCAACCUGAUGUUAGAGUUCAGAAAAUAUAUAAAAUUUUGAAAGCUUUUCCAUACCUGUACCAUUGUCACAUAAAAUAUAGUGCAGGAGUUCACUUAGCAUAUUUUUGUCCUCUUCUAAAACCAAGAGGUGCACUCGUUUAAUGUGUGGCAUACAGUGAACCAUAUAACAUAUGUUGCAUACAGCAAACCACACACCAUAAGAGCACUACACACUGAUGUCUCUUUACCUGGAGUGUAAAGCCACGUAUUGAUGGAGAUUCCCCUAUUGAGAGAUGCUGUCACGAUUUUGUCCCGCCCUAUUCAGAGAUGUGCUAUCACGAUUUCAUCUCACCUGACUGAGCAGUAUGAGGUAUGCAAUGGUCAAACUGUGGUUUUACCAGCCUUGGCUUCUUGUUCCUCACUACCAGCCCCUCAUGUCCCAUUUGUGUAGUGGCUCUUUAACUCAACAGAGAGUUGACAGCCUGCAAAGGACUGACACACUGUUAUCCCUGUAAGCCUCUUUACACUGAAGUGACAAGAGUCAUGGAUACCUCCUAAUAUUACGUCAGACCUCGUUUUGCCUGGCGUAGUGCAGCAACUUGACAUGGCAUGGACUCAACAAGUCAUUGGAGGUCCCCUGCAGAAAUAUUGAUCCAUGCUGCCUCUAUAGCCAUCUAUAAUUACAGAAGUGUUGCUGAUGCAGUUUUUUGUGCAUGAACUGACCUCUUGAUCAUGCCCCAUAUGGCCAUAUAUGCUCAAUGGUAUUCAUGUCAGGUGAUCUGGAUGGCCAAACUAUUUGCUCGAAUUGUUCAGAAAUGUUCUUCAAACCAACCUGUAGUACCUGUAGAAUAUCGAGGGAAUCAAAGCAGAUGAUAAGUUUUUUCAUGUGAUGAUGUCUGAUAUCCUCCAGCACCCUCAGGAUCAUGUAUGGCUCAGCCAUAAUUAAAGUUAUCUUAUUGGGAAGUUGAAACCUGAGUACACAGUUGAAGAAGACCACUGAGUGGCAAAUUAGGUACCUUGUUUUAAAUCAGAUGUUUACUUAUAUAUAUUAAAAAAAAACAAGUUUAAAAUUUAUAUUUUGAAAACAUCCUUCUGUUUACUAUUUUCAAUUCUUGUCCUCUUAAGAAGUCAGGAUGGAUUUUCACUCCAGCACUGCAAUAAAACAUCAAUAUUUGCCACACCUUAUUUCUAACAGAAAUUAUUUGCAUGGUUCCCAAAGGAUAUUAUUGCUUUCUGAAGGCUGUUAAAAUAGUUUUUCCAAAGUAUAAACCAAUACUUUCUGUCCAGCCUUCCAGUCUCUUAACUGGAAGAAGAUUAGGAAGUUGGAAAGAUCUCCAGAAAUAAGGGACCCUGAAUAAAGCACGUUACUAGAUGUUUGCCGUUAUUAAAAACAGGGUGACAUUUAAAAUGCUUUCAUGAGCAACAUCAUUCUUUUGUGUGAAACUAAUCUGACAGGAAGUCACCAUCUCUGUAUGUAUGAUAAUUUGGGAGGGGAAACCAUAAAAAUACCAGAAAAUGUCAUUGGAAGUCCUGUGUGUGGAUCUGACUGACUAUAUUGGCCUUUAGGCACUAUAAUAGACAUUCUUGAUGUUGUAAUUGUACAAUGUAAACUUUCACGGCUGGAAAUCCCACAGUUAAUAAAAUAUUCUGGGCUAUUUGCCGAAAACCCAUGCACACAGACCAUUACCUACACCAGGAUUUGAACCACCUCCCAUAAAAAAAGCAAGACAUAAAAAAAGUUUUUGGAUAGAACAAGGAACAUCUGUAAAUCACAGCUGCUUGACACGGAAUUAAAACACAUUACCAAUGCAAUACUCAAGAACAAUUAUUCACCCACUGCACAAAAAUUAUAGCGAUGCACAAAUGCCUGUGAAAUUAAAAGUUUUCCUGCCUUUCAUUAACAACAUUACUGAGUGCAUAGGAAAAAUCUUGGGAAAACAGAAGAUCAUGGUAAUCUACAAACCCACCCGGAAAAUAUGGCUACAUCUAAAAUUGGCCAAGGAUUCUCGCAAAGUGCUGCGAAAGGUAAAAAUUUAUAGAAUUCUGUGUAGAUUGAGGAGGUGUAUGUGGGUACUACAAAAACAACAGUUAAAAAUGACAAGAAGAGCACAAGGGCAACUACAGAAGUGGAGAGACUGACAGAUCAUCUGUUGAGGAACAUGCUUUGCAGUCAGGAAACCACCAUAUUCGUUUUCAUAGGACUUAAACACUGGCAGCCACAAGCAGAUACCAUGAAUGCCUAUACAGAGGUGCCAUACAGAGUGUUAAAUGCUCCAGGAAUUCCAGGAGGAAGUAGAACCUGAAACUGAAUGACAUCUGGAUCCUGAUGCUGAAGAAGGUGUGUAUAAACCUUCCCCCAUGGGGUGGUAGCAGCAGUGGACGAUAGUAAUCGACAACAGCUUAUUGUGUCUGGGUAUUCAAAGGAUGUGAUGUCAUGCCAUUCUAUGGGAGCCCAUCUAAAGAGAAUUUUGCAGCAGUCAGCAGUGAGCCAGGGUGUAAAUCGGACAUUCAAAGAAGCUACGAUCCCUCUUGAAAAUGUCCUCUGCAGAUGGGGCCAAAUGAAAUGUUGGGUUUUAAUGGAAAAUCCAUCCAAUAAUAGCCCAGAAUAUUUUAUCAAUUGCGAUUCUUGAUGUCACAGAUGAAGCCUGUUAGCUAAUCCAUAUUCCAUUGCUGAAUAGCUACCUCAAGCACCUUCAGGUGAAUGGUGGAAUAUCUCAUAAACGCCUAUUGAAAGUGAUUAAGGAGUUAUUUGGAUUCUAAAAUCAGGCUAAUGUUUGGAGCUGAACACCUGCUACAAGAUAUUUUCUAGUUUACAGCUAAAAAAGGCAACACUGCAAUAACUACUUUGGCAUAUAUGGCCAGCGCAAGGUUGAAAGAGGGAAUUAAAACAUCUGCUUUCCAUUAGUGGGAAACUGUUAUGAACGUGCAUUAUAAGUAAGAAUUCAAUAUCAAAUUAAAUAUUAGCAGUUCAUUGUAAGAGAAAAUGAGUAAUAACCUAUUGUGUGCCUGUAAAAUGUAACUCUGUUUUCUUUACUGUAUAUUUACUGUAUAAAAUUGUAUGUGUACCCUAACACUCUCAACUGAAAAUUAUCAGUUACU